GGGCGCUUAGCUCAGUUGGUUCAGAGCAUCUGCCUUACAAGCAGAGGGUCGGAGGUUCGACUCCUUCAGCGCCCACCA
rnacentral:tRNA from 1 species